rnacentral:rRNA from 1 species
UACAGAGGUCCCAAGCGUUGUUCGGAUUCAUUGGGCGUAAAGGGUGCGUAGGUGGCGCCGUAAGUGGGGUGUGAAAUUUCGGAGCUUAACUCCGAAACUGCAUUCCAUACUGCGGUGCUUGAGGACUGGAGAGGAGACUGUAAUUUACGGUGUAGCAGUGAAAUGCGUAGAGAUCGUAAGGAAGACCAGUGGCGAAGGCGGGUCUCUGGACAGUUCCUGACACUGAGGCACGAAGGCCAGGGGAGCAAACGGG